GGAGACUUACCCAAGUGGCUGAAGGGAUCAGUCUUGAAAACUGAAAGGUGUCGUAAGGCACGCGAGGGUUCAAAUCCCCCAGUCUCCGCCA
rnacentral:tRNA from 1 species